CUGUCGUCGCGGUCGGGCACGAGCUCGGCCUCGCCGAGGUACACCACCCGGGCCGCCAUCAGCUUCUCCCACACCCUCCGCCGCGCGUCCUUCCCCACGGCCUGCGGCUCCCCGAUGACCGUGGCGUCGUAGACCCUCGACAGCGCCGGCUCGUCCGCGGGAGGCGGAGGCGGGGCCGGCGCCGCGGGCGCCGGCGCCGCCGGCGGUGGGGCCGGCUUGUCAUCGCCCGCCGCGGCGGAGGCGGCGAGCGGGAGCGACUGGAGGGCCGUGGACGCCGCGACCAGCGAGGGGACGAGGACGAGGAGGUUGCGGCGCGUGGUGGCGGCGGCGGCCGUGCAGACGCUGCCGCGCGUGGAGGCGGACGCGGAGGCGGGGGUGGAGG
rnacentral:lncRNA from 1 species